UACAGAGGCUGCAAGCGUUAUUCGGAUUCACUGGGCGUAAAGGGUUCGCAGGCGGUCGGGUGCGUCAGAUGUGAAAUCCCGAGGCUCAACCUCGGAACUGCGUCUGAAACUACUCGACUAGAGUACUGGAGAGGGUAACGGAAUUCACGGUGUAGCAGUGAAAUGCGUAGAUAUCGUGAGGAACACCAGAGGCGAAGGCGGUUACCUGGACAGUUACUGACGCUCAGGCACGAAAGCAUGGGGAGCAAAAGGG
rnacentral:rRNA from 1 species